UACGAAGGGGGCUAGCGUUGCUCGGAAUCACUGGGCGUAAAGGGUGCGUAGGCGGGUCUUUAAGUCAGGGGUGAAAUCCUGGAGCUCAACUCCAGAACUGCCUUUGAUACUGAGAAGCUUGAGUCCGGGAGAGGUGAGUGGAACUGCGAGUGUAGAGGUAAAAUUCGUAGAUAUUCGCAAGAACACCAGUGGCGAAGGCGGCUCACUGGCCCGGUACUGACGCUGAGGUGCGAAAGCGUGGGGAGCAAACAGG
rnacentral:rRNA from 1 species